AUGAAAGGGACGGCGUCCUUCCCUGCCUCGUACCCUCCCCAGAUCGGGGCCCGAAGCAGCCGCUCCUGCCUCCGCCUUCUCGCCCCUAGCCAGCGCGGCGUGAGGGGCGGCGACCCGGCGAGCCCGGAGAGAGAGAGAGAGAGAGAGAGAGAGAGAGAGAGAGAGAGAGAGAGAGAGAGAGAGAGAGUACCUGAGAGAGAGAGAGAGCGCGCACACACGGAGCAGCCGCAGCUCGGCGUCGAGGAGGCACAGAGACGGCCGGCCCCCCACCUCCCUUCCUCCUCUCCCGAUCCAGGAGCGGAUCGAGCCGCCACCAACCGCCAGGUCACGCCCGACCUCGCCGGCGCAGGCCGACAGCAGCCGGUGACCCUCUCCUGUCUGCUGCCUCACCUCCCUCUCCUCUUUCCUCUCACUUUCUUCAUCGCGGGCGGGGGGCGGCGGCGGCGGCGCAUGAGGAACGAGGGUCGCGGGGUGGGCUAG
rnacentral:rRNA from 1 species